UCUGCCCUUCACUCUGGGACAAGCCCUGGAAACGGGGUCUAAUACCGGAUAACACUUCUGCUCUCAUGGGCAGGGGUUAAAAGCUCCGGCGGUGAAGGAUGAGCCCGCGGCCUAUCAGCUUGUUGGUGAGGUAAUGGCUCACCAAGGCGACGACGGGUAGCCGGCCUGAGAGGGCGACCGGCCACACUGGGACUGAGACACGGCCCAGACUCCUACGGGAGGCAGCAGUGGGGAAUAUUGCACAAUGGGCGAAAGCCUGAUGCAGCGACGCCGCGUGAGGGAUGACGGCCUUCGGGUUGUAAACCUCUUUCAGCAGGGAAGAAGCGAAAGUGACGGUACCUGCAGAAGAAGCGCCGGCUAACUACGUGCCAGCAGCCGCGGUAAUACGUAGGGCGCAAGCGUUGUCCGGAAUUAUUGGGCGUAAAGAGCUCGUAGGCGGCUUGUCACGUCGGGUGUGAAAGCCCGGGGGCUAAACCCCGGGUCUGCAUUCGAUACGGGCU
rnacentral:rRNA from 1 species